ensembl:lncRNA DAB1-AS1 DAB1 antisense RNA 1
GGAAUACGAAGGGAGAAUGAAACAAAACUGCUCCGCUUAGGGAACUUGGAAAGGAAAUUGAAAAGUUGACAUGCAGGCUGGACAUACAGUGGGCCUCGAUUGCUUAGAAGCCAAACUGAACUCACCAAGAAAAGAAGACAGGAGAAACUUCUCAAGAGGAAUAUCUCCAAAUUGCAGGAUCGAAUACCAUAAGAGGAAUUCUGGACUGAAGAGUUAUGAAGUCAUUUCAGACACUUCCAGACAAUUUGUGUUAAUUAAAUUCUCACUGGUUGAGUUCCAUUCUACACUGGAAGAGCAUUUUUCCUGGAAAGGCUCCUCAAAAUGGACACCAUCAAGAGUCACCUCCUCAGUGAAGCCUUCCAUGGUUUCAUACCACCCAUCCCUAUCGGAAUGAAUGUAUCCUUGUUCUCCGUUAUCCCAGUAUUUUGCCUGGGCUUCUGUCACACUACUUUCAAUGUCUAUACCUCAGUUAUCGAAUCGAAAAACAAGAGUCAUCAGUCUCUAAGGUCCUUGCAAGCUUCAAAACUUUAUAUUUUUGUCAAUUACAACUGAAUAAAGCUGAACAACUUAUUAUUUAUGGAUACUUGCUCAAGCACCAUAUAACUCUUUCAGAUAUUUUAAAAGAAUAUGUUUGCAAAAGACUCCAAAUCAAUGUAUUAAAUUGAAAUCCAGUAUCAAAACACCCAUUAAAGUGCUCUUUUGAAAUUGUACAUUUUAUAUCAAUAAAAUUUCAAAAUAUAAAAA